AUCCCUGUAGCGCAGUGAAUAGCGCGUUGGACUUCUAAUCUACAGAUCAUGGAUUCGAAUACCACCUGGGAUG